ACCCUCCUUUUCUUGGGGUUGCACUGCUGUCCAAUGAGUGCAUGGUGAGGGGCGUACUGCUAACACAUACACAACGUGCCCUUGUCAACUAGAGCUUUGCUUUAUAUUGGUGCAAUUUUUGGAAAA
ensembl:snRNA